rfam:Clostridium sp. CAG:557 genomic scaffold, scf117
AUUAUUAAAACUGUUUUUCCAAAGACAGUAGGUGCAUGAUGCGUAAUGUGAUUUUCACGCCUACCGAGGAUUUGUGCGAGUAUACUUUAUUGGAUAUUUACGCCUUUUCUGCGGUUCGCGGAAAGGGCUUUUCGUUUUUUAUG